UUAAGCGACUAAGCGUACACGGUGGAUGCCCUGGCAGUCAGAGGCGAUGAAGGACGUGCUAAUCUGCGAAAAGCGUCGGUAAGGUGAUAUGAACCGUUACAGCCGGCGAUGUCCGAAUGGGGAAACCCAGUGCAAUUCGUUGCACUAUCGUUAACUGAAUACAUAGGUUAACGAGGCGAACCGGGGGAACUGAAACAUCUAAGUACCCCGAGGAAAAGAAAUCAACCGAGAUUCCCCCAGUAGCGGCGAGCGAACGGGGAGCAGCCCAGAGUCUGAAUCAGCUUGUGUGUUAGUGGAACGGUCUGGAAAGUCCGACGGUACAGGGUGAUAGUCCCGUACACCAAAAUGCACAGGCUGUGAACUCGAAGAGUAGGGCGGGACACGUGGUAUCCUGUCUGAAUAUGGGGGGACCAUCCUCCAAGGCUAAAUACUCCUGACUGACCGAUAGUGAACCAGUACCGUGAGGGAAAGGCGAAAAGAACCCCGGCGAGGGGAGUGAAAAAGAACCUGAAACCGUGUACGUACAAGCAGUGGGAGCACCUUCGGGUGUGACUGCGUACCUUUUGUAUAAUGGGUCAGCGACUUAUAUUCUGUAGCAAGGUUAACCGUAUAGGGGAGCCGCAGGGAAACCGAGUCUUAACUGGGCGUUAAGUUGCAGGGUAUAGACCCGAAACCCGGUGAUCUAGCCAUGGGCAGGUUGAAGGUUGGGUAACACUAACUGGAGGACCGAACCGACUAAUGUUGAAAAAUUAGCGGAUGACUUGUGGCUGGGGGUGAAAGGCCAAUCAAACCGGGAGAUAGCUGGUUCUCCCCGAAAGCUAUUUAGGUAGCGCCUCGUGAAUUCAUCUUCGGGGGUAGAGCACUGUUUCGGCUAGGGGGUCAUCCCGACUUACCAACCCGAUGCAAACUACGAAUACCGAAGAAUGUUAUCACGGGAGACACACGGCGGGUGCUAACGUCCGUCGUGAAGAGGGAAACAACCCAGACCGCCAGCUAAGGUCCCAAAGUCAUGGUUAAGUGGGAAACGAUGUGGGAAGGCACAGACAGCCAGGAUGUUGGCUUAGAAGCAGCCAUCAUUUAAAGAAAGCGUAAUAGCUCACUGGUCGAGUCGGCCUGCGCGGAAGAUGUAACGGGGCUAAACCAUGCACCGAAGCUGCGGCAGCGACACUAUGUGUUGUUGGGUAGGGGAGCGUUCUGUAAGCCUGCGAAGGUGACCUGUGAGGGUUGCUGGAGGUAUCAGAAGUGCGAAUGCUGACAUAAGUAACGAUAAAGCGGGUGAAAAGCCCGCUCGCCGGAAGACCAAGGGUUCCUGUCCAACGUUAAUCGGGGCAGGGUGAGUCGACCCCUAAGGCGAGGCCGAAAGGCGUAGUCGAUGGGAAACAGGUUAAUAUUCCUGUACUUGGUGUUACUGCGAAGGGGGGACGGAGAAGGCUAUGUUAGCCGGGCGACGGUUGUCCCGGUUUAAGCAUGUAGGCUGGUUGUCCAGGCAAAUCCGGAUAAUCAAGGCUGAGGUGUGAUGACGAGGCACUACGGUGCUGAAGUAACAAAUGCCCUGCUUCCAGGAAAAGCCUCUAAGCAUCAGGUAACAUUAAAUCGUACCCCAAACCGACACAGGUGGUCAGGUAGAGAAUACCAAGGCGCUUGAGAGAACUCGGGUGAAGGAACUAGGCAAAAUGGUGCCGUAACUUCGGGAGAAGGCACGCUGGUGUGUAGGUGAAGUCCCUGCGGAUGGAGCUGAGACCAGUCGAAGAUACCAGCUGGCUGCAACUGUUUAUUAAAAACACAGCACUGUGCAAACACGAAAGUGGACGUAUACGGUGUGACGCCUGCCCGGUGCCGGAAGGUUAAUUGAUGGGGUUAUCCGUAAGGAGAAGCUCUUGAUCGAAGCCCCGGUAAACGGCGGCCGUAACUAUAACGGUCCUAAGGUAGCGAAAUUCCUUGUCGGGUAAGUUCCGACCUGCACGAAUGGCGUAAUGAUGGCCAGGCUGUCUCCACCCGAGACUCAGUGAAAUUGAACUCGCUGUGAAGAUGCAGUGUACCCGCGGCAAGACGGAAAGACCCCGUGAACCUUUACUAUAGCUUGACACUGAACAUUGAGCCUUGAUGUGUAGGAUAGGUGGGAGGCUUUGAAGCGUGGACGCCAGUCUGCGUGGAGCCAACCUUGAAAUACCACCCUUUAAUGUUUGAUGUUCUAACGUUGGCCCCUGACCGGGGUUGCGGACAGUGUCUGGUGGGUAGUUUGACUGGGGCGGUCUCCUCCCAAAGCGUAACGGAGGAGCACGAAGGUUAGCUAAUCCUGGUCGGACAUCAGGAGGUUAGUGCAAUGGCAUAAGCUAGCUUGACUGCGAGCGUGACGGCGCGAGCAGGUGCGAAAGCAGGUCAUAGUGAUCCGGUGGUUCUGAAUGGAAGGGCCAUCGCUCAACGGAUAAAAGGUACUCCGGGGAUAACAGGCUGAUACCGCCCAAGAGUUCAUAUCGACGGCGGUGUUUGGCACCUCGAUGUCGGCUCAUCACAUCCUGGGGCUGAAGUAGGUCCCAAGGGUAUGGCUGUUCGCCAUUUAAAGUGGUACGCGAGCUGGGUUUAGAACGUCGUGAGACAGUUCGGUCCCUAUCUGCCGUGGGCGCUGGAGAAUUGAGGGGGGCUGCUCCUAGUACGAGAGGACCGGAGUGGACGCAUCACUGGUGUUCGGGUUGUCAUGCCAAUGGCACUGCCCGGUAGCUAAAUGCGGAAGAGAUAAGUGCUGAAAGCAUCUAAGCACGAAACUUGCCCCGAGAUGAGUUCUCCCUGAGACUUUAAGUCUCCUGAAGGAACGUUAAAGACGAUGACGUUGAUAGGCCGGGUGUGUAAGCGCAGCGAUUGCGUUGAGCUAACCGGUACUAAUGAACCGUGAGGCUUAACCUU
rnacentral:rRNA from 1 species